UACGAAGGGGGCUAGCGUUGUUCGGAUUUACUGGGCGUAAAGCGCGUGUAGGCGGAUCGUUAAGUCGGGGGUGAAAGCCCAGAGCUCAACUCUGGAAUUGCCUUCGAUACUGGCGGUCUGGAGCAGAGAAGAGGCGAGUGGAAUUCCGGGUGGAGAGGUGAAAUUCGUAGAUAUUCGGAGGAACACCAGUGGCGAAGGCUGCUCGCUGGUCUCUUGCUGACGCUGAGACGCGAAAGCGUGGGGAGCAAACAGG
rnacentral:rRNA from 1 species